GACGAACGCUGGCGGCGUGCCCAAUACAUGCAAGUCGAGCGGACGAAUCGAAAGCUUGCUUUUGAUUCGUUAGCGGUGGACGGGUGAGUAACACGUGGGCAACCUGCCCUGUAGACGGGGAUAACACCGAGAAAUCGGUGCUAAUACCGGAUAACACGAAAUGUCGCAUGACGUUUCGUUGAAAGACGGCGCAAGCUGUCGCUACAGGAUGGGCCCGCGGCGCAUUAGCUAGUUGGUGAGGUAACGGCUCACCAAGGCGACGAUGCGUAGCCGACCUGAGAGGGUGAUCGGCCACACUGGGACUGAGACACGGCCCAGACUCCUACGGGAGGCAGCAGUAGGGAAUCUUCCGCAAUGGACGAAAGUCUGACGGAGCAACGCCGCGUGAGCGAAGAAGGCCUUCGGGUCGUAAAGCUCUGUUGUUAGGGAAGAACAAGUAACGCAGUAACUGGCGUUACCGUGACGGUACCUAACGAGAAAGCCACGGCUAACUACGUG
rnacentral:rRNA from 1 species